GCACAAAUUAACAAGGUAUUGACGCGUCUCAAUUUGAAGACAUGGCUGGCUAACAUGAAAACCAAUCAUGUAGUUUGAUUGAGCCGCGUCAAUAUCUUGCUUUUGCGU
rnacentral:pre_miRNA from 1 species